rnacentral:lncRNA from 1 species
AUUGGAUAAGGAAAUCCUAAAAACUUGUGUAGUAGAAAUAGGUUAGUAGAAAUAGGCCUAUCUGCCGUCAUAGUAAAUCGAUAUGCAGUAACUAUUUCAAUUGCCGUUGACACCAUUUACUAUUUUUCUGAAUCUUAAUUUGCAAUGCUGAUACAGACUUUACAUAAUGUAUUUAUUUUUUUAUAUUAAUAUUUCGUUUUUCAUAGUAUUGAAAUGGAUCUUCCCUGCCAUAGGCUGGCCAUUUUCAAAAAAAAUAAUUGUGCAUAUAUAUUACAUAUGAACGUAUUUAUUUUAGUGUAUUUUGACAUUUUUUAGGUGUGCUAAAUGGCUUGAAGUUAUUCAGUUACCAAGUUUAUUCAAGAAGAGUUAUGCACAUCACAACAAAAGCUACAGGGUAUGCAGUUUCCACUUUUCAUCCGGAAAUUAUACUAAUGGAAACUCAGAUUCUAGACUUCUCCAUGCUUGCCCAGACCAAAACCUUAGCUACUGCAAACGUGCAAGCCAAGGGUCUGAAACUCUCUCUUUCUCAGAAAAUAUAGACAUUGAUUUUGGAAAGAUGCUUUAUGUAUUUACAUAUUAUUUGUGUAAAUAAAAGAAAAGGAUCA